GAGCAUGUGGACCAAGCAGACAGAGGCAUGGGCCACCCACUCUCAGAGAUGUGGGAAAAUGAAUCGGAAUAACAAGAGAAAAUGAUUCCAAACAGAAGAGGAAAGUGACGAUGUGAUGAAAAGGAAAAGAGAUUGGGAUUUGAUGGAGAGUCACAAAGUCACAAUGAUGCGCUCUUUUUUAAUGGAUGAGGAAACUGGAGCUCAGGGUUUGAGUCACUGACCUAAGUGAUCACCAACUGCUGUGGCUCAGAGUGCCCUGCCGGAGGACCAAAAUAAUGAGUCCAAAUGGAUCUGCCUGACCUUGAACUGGAGCCUCCAAAAUUCUGAGCAUAAAUAAAAUGUUUUUCUCUAUAAGUUGCUUACGUCAGAGAUUUCUUUAUGGUGAUGGAAAGCAGACUAAUACAUCACCAGAGAA